AAAUUAGUUUUCACUAACUCUAAUAAUUUAAAAAACUGUAUUUUUCCAAAAUUUAAAGAUCCAACAGAGAAAUUUCAGAGAGUUGGAUGUGUAUAUAAAAUUCAAUGCAAAGAUUGUGAUAGUUGUUAUAUCGGAGAAACCUUAAGACAUCUUAAAACUAGAAUAAAAGAACAUAAACGAUAUGUCACUCACAACCAAAAUAUUAAUGCUUUAACUAAUCAUACUUUUGAUAAUAAACAUUCUUUUGAUUUUGACAAUACAAAUAUUUUACAAAUUGAAAUAAAUAACUGGAAAAGAAAAAAUUUGGAAAUGUUCUAUAUAAAAAAUAAUACUAAUAGUAUUAAUUAUAGAACAGAUAUUGACAAUCUAGAUAAAAUAUACUAUAAUUUAAUUACUUAUUUUAAAACAUAAUUUAAAAAGUUUAAUAACAUAGAAAUCUACUUUACCUAUCAUACCUGGACCCUAAUACACAACCUAACCUCUCUGUCAUAACUCUCUGUUCAUAGAAGCACAUUUUUUGCAAAAAAUGUGUUUCUACAAAAUUUAUAAAAUUAAUUAAAUUGUUUAAUAUAAAAUGUUUUUUUUUAAAAAAAUUUUUUUUUUACAAUAAAAAAAUUUUUUUCCUUUUCUAUACUUGUAAUGUUCUUCUAAAGGAUAUUUUAAUCCUUUUUGAAAUCUUUUUAUGAUGUGUCCAAUAUUUGGAUAAUUUUCUGUAAAAUUGUUCAUCCCCUGAUGAGGAACCAUAUGGUUCGAAACUAGUCGGGAUUAUAAAAUAAACAUCAUAUAAAAUAACCGUAUCUAGGCCUUUUCAUUAUCC